UGGAACAGUGUUGGUUAAAUGUAGUCAACCAUCUGUUUGGAAACAACACCUCAGAUCAUCUGCCCAUCUUACAUGAUUUGAGCGGAGAUCUAAAUUCUUCACAAUACUUUAGAGAUUUUCUUGACAAAGUACUGAUUGAAGUUUGUGUGUGGAUUUAGAUCAAACUUCAAAAAUACUUACUUUCCUUGCAUUAAGACAGCUAUAAACUCUCCGUUAGGCAAAUGCUUGGAAGGACAUGUUACUGUUUCAGAUGUAAAGAUUGAGAAGUCCUUAUACAUAGAAUUCUUUAUUCAUGGUAGCCAUAUGAUUAUUGAAUUGUUUAUCUAAUUGUGAUUUUAAGAAUUUAAAAUGUUUUCUUACUACACGUGUUAAAUUGUUACAAUGUCUUCCUGGAAAAUAGAGUUAUUUGUAAGGUUUUUAUAAAUGCACAAUCUGUGUAUAAAUAUAAUUGAAGUCUGGGAUGACUCGGUAAUUACGACUCUCCGUUCAGGAACGGGCACCAGGUAACCCACACACUUGUCAACGUAGCACUUGUGUGUAUAUAUCUUUGUGCACAUGUACAUUGUUAUUCUCAAGUGAAUUUAUCACUUAAUGUUUUUGUAAAAGUACUUGAGCUGUUUGUGUAAUGCAAAAAGUCACCAUAAAGAUGUACAUAAAUGCCCCGUAAGUUGGCACGUCUUCAUAUUUAAUUGAUAAAAUUGCAGCUUUUGAUUUAC
rnacentral:lncRNA from 1 species